rnacentral:rRNA from 1 species
UAACCUACGGGAGGCAGCAGUGAGGAAUAUUGGUCAAUGGGCGCAAGCCUGAACCAGCCAAGUCGCGUGAGGGAUGACGGUCCUAUGGAUUGUAAACCUCUUUUGUCGGGGAGCAAGGCCCGCCACGUGUGGCGGGAAGGAGAGUACCCGAAGAAAAAGCAUCGGCUAACUCCGUGCCAGCAGCCGCGGUAAUACGGAGGAUGCGAGCGUUAUCCGGAUUUAUUGGGUUUAAAGGGUGCGUAGGCGGACUGUCAAGUCAGCGGUAAAAUACGGGGGCUCAACCUCCGCCCGCCGUUGAAACUGAG